AUGUCUUCUCAAGAGUCAGUCGGGGAGAGCCGGGUGUCUCAUCCGGCAUCGAGACCAAGGACAAACAGCGAUGCUGACCACUUUGGGCCAGCAACGGAGGAAGAGAUGGAGGCUGAUUUGAUGAGGAUAGAUGCCAUGGAGGAGGAUCAAGAAGUCACUUCUCGCUUCCGAGCUGGAUUCACGAUGGGGGAACUACAGAGCUUAGCUAUUCCAAACUCGGUUAUCCCUUCCAAUGUUAGAUUUCUUUCUUAUGAAAAUAUCAAGAAGAGUGUUACUUGUUCUCCCGCAGCUAUGCAACACCCUUGGGUGCAAGGAGCUUUAGCCGUUACAGGAAAGCUUCGUAAGGAAAUAAUGGACCUCAAGCAGCAAGUCAAUAAGCUCGAGGAGGAGAAUCGUAUCGUGAGGGGCAUCAUCGCCAAGAAUAUUACACCAUCACCGAAAAAGGAGACAUAA
rnacentral:rRNA from 1 species